rnacentral:rRNA from 1 species
GGCGGACGGGUGAGUAACACGUGGGUAACCUGCCCUUUAGUGGGGGAUAACAUUUGGAAACAGAUGCUAAUACCGCAUAGAUCCAAGAACCGCAUGGUUCUUGGCUGAAAGAUGGCGUAAGCUAUCGCUUUUGGAUGGACCCGCGGCGUAUUAGCUAGUUGGUGAGGUAAUGGCUCACCAAGGCGAUGAUACGUAGCCGAACUGAGAGGUUGAUCGGCCACAUUGGGACUGAGACACGGCCCAAACUCCUACGGGAGGCAGCAGUAGGGAAUCUUCCACAAUGGACGCAAGUCUGAUGGAGCAACGCCGCGUGAGUGAAGAAGGCUUUCGGGUCGUAAAACUCUGUUGUUGGAGAAGAAUGGUCGGCAGAGUAACUGUUGCCGGCGUGACGGUAUCCAACCAGAAAGCCACGGCUAACUACGUGCCAGCAGCCGCGGUAAUACGUAGGUGGCAAGCGUUAUCCGGAUUUAUUGGGCGUAAAGCGAGCGCAGGCGGUUUUUUAAGUCUGAUGUGAAAGCCCUCGGCUUAACCGAGGAAGCGCAUCGGAAACUGGGAAACUUGAGUGCAGAAGAGGACAGUGGAACUCCAUGUGUAGCGGUGAAAUGCGUAGAUAUAUGGAAGAACACCAGUGGCGAAGGCGGCUGUCUGGUCUGUAACUGACGCUGAGGCUCGAAAGCAUGGGUAGCGAACAGGAUUAGAUACCCUGGUAGUCCAUGCCGUAAACGAUGAA